AAAAUAUGUUCUAGUUUAUUUCAUUAGAAACUAUACUUAAUAAGCUUUAAUUACAUAAUUUAUUCAGCUUCUAAUUCAUCUCCCACAAUUUAUGGUGAUUUUCCAAAGUCACGUUACUGCUGCUGUCCCAAGCAAAUUUAUUACCAAAUCACUCUUUCACACAUACCUUGCAUGCAUGUUAUUUAAACAUGUAUAUCACCAAUCAAUCAUCACAUAUCUAUGAUUUUACUUAAGUAUAAUCUCCAUUUCAUCAUUUUAAAGCACAACAUGUUAGCUGAUUUUUCCCUUUAACAUCUAAGGCACAUGCAUGCUCAUUUGUUUGGCUUAACUUCACCUAUCUUCCAUUUUUCAUCAAAAGAACAUGAAACAACAACAAUUUCCUUCAUUUUAAUUCAUGACUAAAUGCUCACAACACAACUAAAAAUCAAAAUAUACUUCAAGAGUUAAGGUAGAAUCAAGAAGAACUCAUGAACCUCAAAAUAGAAGCAAGGUACCAAGAACUUACCUUUAAUUUUCCUCUUCCUAAUGACCGAAUACUCAAGAGCUUUCUCCUCUCCUUUCUCUUCUCUAACUUUCAGCUAUGAUGAACAAAGAUGGACAAAACUUUGUUCUUUUCACCCCUUUUUCUUUUAAUAAAACUUCAUAUUUCAUCCAUUUAAUUCUUUAAUACAAAAGACAUGAAAUUCUUAUCAUGAGACAUUUACCUAACCCAUUAUCAUGAAACAUUUACCUAACCCAUUAUCAUGGAACAUUUACCUAACCUAUUAUCAAUUUGUAUCAAUUUGUACCAUAAAUUAUGGAUAUCAAGUGUACAUUUUGUCUACAACAACAUGAUGGCUGGCCACUUCAUGUAAAAUUGGAGGUUUGUCAUGCAAAUCCUCCUAUUUUGCACUCCUAUUUAUUUGGUCACUUCAAUUUAGCCUAUAGCAUUUUCAAACAUUUUCACAUAGGUUCUAUUUCAUAAUUUCACCCCCUUUUUGUUAUGGAACAAAAAUUAACUAAAAUUAUCGGGUUCUAUCUUAAGUUUGGGCUUUCUAGAGGCCUACUAACAUAAUUAAACCUAUGCCAACAUUCACAGGAUUCCUGAAAAUUGGGGCGUUACAACUCUACCCUCCUUAAAGAAAUUUCGUCCUCGAAAUUUACUUAAUCCAAACAGAUGAGGGUAUUGCUGUUGCAUCGUCUCUUCUGGCUCCCAAACUCAGAAGUUUCCCCUUCCUUAACUUGUUGAAAACGAGCAACCAAAGACUCAUCGUUCAACUAUUUUUCCUUAAUCUGAUCCACCCAGGUUGGCCUCACUUGCAACUCAGCCAACAGACUUCUAUCAUCAUACAGACUCAGACGAGCAAACAUUGCUCUCAGAUCAGAUACAGCUCUACAACUUAGAGCAUCGGCUACUACAUUAGCCUUGCUUGGGUGAUACUCGAUUGAACAAGCAUAAUCCUUAAGCAACUCAAUCCAUCUCCUUUGCCUAAGGUUCAGCUCCUUCUGAGUCAACAAAUACUUAAGACUCUUAUGGUCAGUGUAUAUAAUACACCUUUCUCCGUACAAGUAAUGUCUCCAAAUCUUAAGUGCAAAUAUCACUGCUGCCAACUCUAAAUCAUGAGUCAAAUAGUUUCCCUCAUGAGGCUUAAGCUAUCGUGAUGCAUAUGCAACCACCUUACCCUUUUGCAUUAACACGCAGCCCAAACCCACGUGUGAUGCAUCACUGUACACAGUAAAAUCAUUCCCAGACUCCGGUUGAAUUAACACAGGUGCUUCAGUCUUUCUUCAACUUCUCAAAAGCUUCCUGCUGCUUCUCAGUCCAUACAAACGGUACUCUUUUCCUUAUGCGUUUUGUCAGGGGUGCUGCCAUCGCAACCUUCUACAAACUUUCUGUAGCAUCCUGCCAGUCCUACGAAACUCCGUAUUUUCGACACUGAACUAGGCGGCUUCCACUCCAAAAUCGCUUCAAUUUUUCGAGGGUCCACCUUAAUCCCCUCAGCAGAGACCACAUGCCCUAAGAAGGUUACCUCCCUCAACCAAAAUUCACACUUGCUAAACUUCGCAAAGAGUUUCUUCUCCCCUAACACUUGCAGCAAUAUACGGAGAUACUCAUCAUGUUUCGCUUCAGUUUCAGAAUAUACCAGGAUAUCGUUAAUAAAGACAACUACGAACUGAUCUAAAAAUGGUUGGAACACGCGAUUCAUCAAAUCCAUAAACGCUACAGGAGCGUUCGUCAGUCCAAAUGGCAUAACCAGAAACUCGUAAUGACCAUACCGAGUCCUGAAUAUUGUCUUAUGGAUAUCCACUUCCUUUACCCUUAACUGAUGGUAUCCAGAUCGAAGGUCAAUCUUGGAAAAUACCGAAGCUCCUCUAAGUUGGUCAAAUAAAUCAUCAAUCCUUGGUAGUGGAUACUUAUUUUUAAUCCUCAGUUUGUUCAACUGGCGAUAAUCAAUGCACAUCUGCAUCGUACCAUCCUUCUUUUUCACGAAUAGCACUGGUGCUCCCCAUGGAGACACGCUUGGCCUAAUGAAGCCCUUAUCCAACAACUCUUGAAUUUGUGCCUUUAGCUCCACCAACUCCUUCGGUGCCAUUCUAUACGGUGCGAUAGACACAGGUGCCGUUCCAAGCAAUAAGUCGAUUCUAAACUCCACUUCUCGGUUCGGAGGCAAUCCUAGAAGCUCUUCCAGAAAAAUAUCUUGUAACUCCUUUACAGUCCUAACCUUAUCCACUGUCAGUCCCUCCUCUUCCAACUGACUUACAAAUGCCAAUUAGGCCUCACAACCUUUCCGAAUCCACUUUUCGGCUCUUAAUGCCGACACCAUAUUGGACAAAUAAUCCCUUCUCUCACCUAUCACCAUAACCUCCUCAUCCCUUGUAGUUCUUAACACCAUUCAUUUAGCAGCACAAUCUAGAGUCGCCUUAUGCUUAACAAGCCAAUCCAUUCCCAGAAUGAGGUCAAACUCUCCGAAUGGUAACUCCAUCAGAUCUCCAGGAAAAAAAAAACCUUGCCUUGAGUUUCUAAGGGUACAUUCCUAUACAGUUUGUCUACCCUAAUCGAGUGACCCAAGGGACUUAGUACAGAUACCCCACUCACAAUCUCCUCAGAGCAGUCCAAGUCAUCCAUAAUCCAUUCUGUGGCCUCCAACCAAUAUUCCGCCACAUUCGGGGCUAUACCAGACACGCCCUUAAAGAUCUCCGUUCCGUUAGUCCCGAAGUCAUUCAGAAAUAGAUCCCUGAAUUUCGUUGUCCGAACUUGCUCUGGAAACCCUUUCCAGAACACGAAGCAUUGCCUGUGACAGGGCAUCAUCCUCGGCACCGCGGUCAUGAGACUCUACCUCUGUUACCGGUGGUACCGGUGCAUCCACCGCUGGCAUAUGUCUCGAAGACGAAGAUCUCGCUCGAGCACUUCCUCGGCUCCGUCCACGGCCUCUUAUACUCAUAUCGUAUUAUCUUGAUUACAAAUUUUUAUGCAUCAAUUCAAUAUUCCAGUGUUUAUUACAGAUGUUUUAUGAAUCAGACAGUAAUUAAAAGUUUGUUUUCGCAGAAUCAAAGUCUAGCUACAGUUUUAGUCUCUUAUCAGAUUUUCCUAUGGUUUCAGAAUCAUCUUAUCUAGAGUAUCCUAGUAGGGUUUCAGUACAGACAGAUAAUUCAGAAAAAUAUUCAGAAGAGUUCAGAGUAAUAGUUACAGGCUUGAGCCGGAGAUUCGGAAUGCCACCUUCUAAAGAUCUAAAUUUUGAAAACCGCGUUUUUCGCAAUCUUUAUAAAAUUUUUAUUUUCGAAGAUCUAAAUUUUGUAAACCCAUUCCACAGCCGAGUUGUUGUAACCUAGGCUCUGAUACCACUAAAUGUAGUACCCCAAACCCGGCCCAGAAGUUAUGGCCGAAUCCGGCAUGCCACAUCAAAAACGUUAAAAAAAUUUUCCAUUCUAAGUCCAGAAAAUCGUACUUGAUGUUCAAAAGAUUAAUUCAUUAAGGGUUAAAGUGAAUGGAAGCUGUGCACCAGGUAGGAAACCGAAAAAGAGGUGGUGAGUCCAUCGGACUGCUUAAUUACCAAGCUCCCUUCGGAUCCAAUCCUAGACAUGCAUACCGCCAUUGCCACACCUUAACGUCAUGGAUAUUUCUAGGAAACCGAUUUGAUUAAGUCAUUUUUAAGAAAAGUGAUUAAUUUUGGAAAAUACUUUCAUUGCGGAAGCUUUGCUUGUUGUCGUGUUAUUUUGAAAUCAAUUGUUGUUUUUGAAAAUGCGCCCUAAAGCUAUCCAAAUUCAACAGUUAAAAUAAGUAAUACCUAUCUUAGUAAUACAUAUUAAAACCAUCAAAAAUAAUUAAGCGGCCUUAUUACAGUUAAAAACCCAAAACUUCAAACGUAAAUAAAAGGAUGUCCAGUUCACCAGAAGAAAAUCAAACUUUCAGAACGGGUGGCCACUCCGAAUUCCCUCACAACUCCAAGCCCACUAUGGUUGGGGAUUUCCUGCGUGGAUGAAAAUAAAAAGGGUGAGUUUGGGGAAACUCAGUGUGUAAGGAAAACCCAUUCAAAGCCCAAGUCAGCUCAAGCCCAUUGGGCCUAAGCCCAUUCAGGUAACAGUGGUACUGGGCCAGAGCCCUUUUCAGAUUACAAUAAACUGGGCCUUAGCCCCUUAUUCAGAUAACAGUAUGGCCCAUAGGCCCAUUUGGAAAUACAUGCAACAUCAAUAAACAUAUGCAAGCCCAUUUGGGGAGACUACUCAACCCACCAACCACUAUACUCCACCCGUACCAGCCAUACACUCCAUGUGGGGAAUAGCUCAACCCACCCAGCCUAACACUCCACAGUUGCAGCCUUGCUGCUCAGUUAACAGUAAAUUGAGGCAAAGCCUCUAGUAUGUGGACAAGCCACUUUCAGUACUUCCUCCGUCAAUAUCCCAAUCCCAUGCAUCAGAUAAUAACAACAUGGCAUGCAGUAAAUAACAACAGUCAAACAUGCAUUUAGGUCAAUUUAACCCUAGGGGUAUUUCGGUAAUUUAUCUCCUAGGGGUAAAACUGUAAAUUUUCCACUUUUAAAGGUAUUUCAGCAAUUUAUCUAUUUUAGGGUUUUUCAUGCAUAUUCCUACUUUUUACGUACUAACAGAAUCACGUACCGAGGGUUCUUACCGAAUUGGGCCUGUUGGCCCAUCAUUCCAAUUUUGGCCCAUUAUGCCCAAAAAUAUCGAGGGCACAGAAAUCAUGCACUUUGUAGUCCAAAUUUUGCAGCUUACCAAAAACAUUAAUCGAUUUACCUCACGAGCAUUCGCACACUCGCAAAUCUAAAAAAACACCGGUUUUUGGCAUUUCGGCUUUUCGACUUUUGCCGAUCCAGACUAAGAAAGAGGGUGUUAGUUACACACCUGUUUGCGACGAUAUGCUGACGAGAUCCACACACGAACUGCCUACAAUUGGAUUACUAACACGUUAAUCUAACUAUUCAAAUACAAACUACGUAUUAACCCCUUACAAUAUUCGGCCAACCACACCUACAGAUCAUAGUAAGCUUAUAAGAAAACAAUAAGCAACUCAUUAACAAAUUUUUGUCAAUGUUUACCACAUAAUCAUAAUUUCACUGCAAGCUAUCUUCCUGAGCAACAGUCACUAAAUCAUUUAUAACUGGAGCUACGAAACUCCUAAUUAAGUUCCAUUAAUUUUCCUUGAAAAUAGACUCAUAUAUAUUCUAUCCAUUAAAGUUUCAGAAUUUUUGGUUUAGCCAAUCAAUACCAGAUUUUUCUCAAAGUUUCCCAUGUUUCACUGUUUGACUAAUCUGACCACUCUUCAUUACGAAUCAAAUUUCUCAUUGUACAGAAUUCAAAAUAUGUUAUAUUUUAUUUCAUUAGAAACUAGACUUAAUAAUAUUUAAUUACAUAAUUUAUUCAGCUUCUAAUUCAUCUCCCACAAUUUAUGGUGAUUUUCCAAAGUCACGUUACUGUUGCUGUCCCAAGCAGAUUUAUUACCAAAUCACUCUUUCACACAUACCUUGCAUGCAUGUUAUUUAAACAUGUAUAUCACCAAUCAAUCAUCACAUAUCUAUGAUUUUACUUAAGUAUAAUCUCCAUUUCAUCAUUUUUAAGCACAACAUGUUAGCUGAUUUUUCCCUUUAACAUCUAAGGCACAUGCAUGCUCAUUUGUUUGGCUCAACUUCACCUAUCUUCCAUUUUUCAUCAAAAGAACAUGAAACAACAACCAUUUCCUUCAUUUUAAUUCAUGACUAAAUGCUCACAACACAACUAAAAAUCAAAAUAUACUUCAAGAGUUAAGGUAGAAUCAAGAAGAACUCAUGAACCUCAAAAUAGAAGCAAGGUACCAAGAACUUACCUUUAAUUUUCCUCCUCCUAAUGACCGAAUACUCAAGAGCUUUCUCCUCUCCUUUCUCUUCUCUAAC
rnacentral:lncRNA from 1 species